rnacentral:rRNA from 1 species
UACAGAGGUGGCAAGCGUUGUUCGGAAUUACUGGGCGUAAAGGGCGCGUAGGCGGCCUUGUAAGUCCUGUGUGAAAUCCCCCGGCUCAACUGGGGAACUGCACAGGAGACUGCUUGGCUUGAGUUCGGGAGAGGGAUGCAGAAUUCCAGGUGUAGCGGUGAAAUGCGUAGAUAUCAGGAGGAACACCGAUGGCGAAGGCAGUUCUCUGGGCCGUAACUGACGCUGAGGAGCGAAAGCGUGGGGAGCAAACAGG